AUGGCUCCUCUCAUCUUCCUCCUCCUACUCAGCCAAGUCCAUGUCUGCACAGCCGUUGAUAUCAUCAACUCCACCUCACCGUUGUCUGGGACGACACACAGGAUUGUAUCCCAGGGCAAGAAAUUCACCUUGGGAUUCUACUCCCCGACACAAGGUAACACCACCUCUUCCAGCUCCAACACCUACUACAUAGCCAUAUGGUACAGCGACAUACUGCCGGUGACGACGGUGUGGACGGCGACCACCGACGUGCCGGUUUCCGACCCGACCAGAGCCGCCUUGGCCAUGGGCAGCGAUGGCAACCUUGUCCUCUUUGACCAAUACAGGAACAGGGAGCUGUGGUCGACCAACGUGAGCGUACCCUCCAACUCCACCAUGGCCAUCAUCAGGGACACCGGUAGCCUCGACCUCACCGACGCCUCGAAUUCAUCCAUAAUUUAUUGGCGGAGCAUAGACCAUCCAACAAACACCUGGCUUCCAGGGGGGAAGCUCGGGCUGAACAAGAUCACCGGCGUGAGCCAGAGGCUUGUUCCUUGGAAGAACACGGCAGACCCAUCUCCAGGGCUGUUCACGCUGGAGCUGGACCCAAACGGCACGCCACAGCUUUUCAUCCAGUGGAAUCUGUCCAUAACCUACUGGUCCAGUGGCCCUUGGAACGGCCAUAACUUUAGCCUUGCACCGGAGAUGACAGUCGGUUUCACAUUCGACUUCCCAUUCAUCAACAACGACACUGAAGGCUACCUCUUCUACUCGCUGAGGGAUGACUCGGUCAUCUCGCGGUUCAUCAUCGACGUGGGCGGGCAGAUCAAGCAUCUGUCAUGGGUGGAUUCCUCACAGCAGUGGAUGUUAGUCUGGGCCCAGCCACCGAUCCAGUGCGAGGUCUACGCGCUCUGUGGGGCAUACGGCAGCUGCAACCUCAAUGCCCUGACGCACUGCAGCUGUGUCAAGGGGUUCAGCCAGAAGGUUCAGAGUGACUGGGACCUCCAGGAUUACAGCGGCGGGUGCAAGAGGAACACGCCAUUGCAUUGCCAGACCAACUCGACUUCUGCACAUGCACAGACUCAUCAGUCUGACAAGUUCUAUGUCAUGGAAGAUGUGUUGCUACCUGAUAACGCUCAGGGUGCAGUGGCUACAAGCUCUCACGAAUGUCAGGUGGUGUGUCUGGAUAGCUGCUCUUGCACCGCUUACACUUACAAUCACACUGGGUGCUUCAUUUGGCACGGGGACCUCGUUAACCUCCGAGAGCAGUACAGGGGAAAUGGAGGAGGCGAUCUCCUCCUCGGGCUCGCAGCAUCCGAGCUGGCAGACCCAAAAAAGCCCAAGAUGGUGAUCAUUGGUGUAGCUGCUGGUGUAGGCUUGAUAAUGCUUGCAAUGUUCUUCCGAUAUCAGAAAUGCUGCCGAGACAGAAGAAGUCAUUGGGUAUCCGAGAAUGCUGGGAUGAUAGCCGCACCGACUGGCUUCAGGUACAAUGAUCUAUUGGACGAUAUUCAAAGUAUUGAUUCGCUGCUUCUUGAUCUAUCAACGCUACGAGUUGCUACAAAUGACUUCGGCAAAGGAAAUAUGCUUGGUGCAGGAGGUUUUGGUAUGGUUCAUAAGGGAGUCCUACCUGACGGUAAACAAAUAGCAGUAAAAAGGCUAUGCCAGAGUUCCAAGCAAGGGAUAGGGGAGUGGAAAAGUGAACUUGUCCUGGUUGCUAAGCUUCGCCACAGGAAUCUUGUGAGCCUCAUUGGCAUUUGUUUGGAAGAACAAGAGAAAAUACUUGUGUAUGAAUUUAUGCCCAACAGAAGCCUUGAUACCAUUCUUUUUGAUUCGGAGAAAUGUAAGGACCUAGAUUGGGGAAGGAGAUUCAAGAUUAUCAACGGAGUUGCUAGGGGAUUACAAUAUCUCCACGAAGAUUCUCAGCUGAAGAUAGUUCACCGGGACCUGAAAGCAAGCAACAUCCUGUUGGACUUUGAUUACAACCCUAAGAUUUCUGACUUCGGCCUAGCAAAGAUAUUUGGAGGGGAUCAAUCAGAAGAUGUCACCAGCCGUAUCGCUGGAACAUACGGAUACAUGUCGCCUGAAUACGCCAUGCAUGGUCAGUACUCAACAAAGUCGGAUGCGUUCAGCUUCGGUGUUUUGGUUUUAGAGAUCGUCACAGGAAGAAGAAACAGUGGCUCCUGCACCUCCGAGAAAUACGUUUACCUCGUAAACCUUGUAUGGGAGCACUGGGUCAGGGGAAAUGUCAUCGAGCUGAUCGACGCAUCGCUUAGCAGGCAUCCUUCUCCCACUGAACAGGUGCUGAAGUGCAUCAAAAUCGGGCUACUGUGUGUGCAGAACAGGCCUAAAGACAGGCCGACAAUGUCGUCGGUAAACGUCAUGCUUAGCAGCCACAAUGUUCGUCUCCCUCCUGUUUCCAUGCCGGCCUUCUGUGACGGGUUGAACGGGUGCAGUGAUAAUUCAGAAGCGGCGUCCUCAAAUGGGGUAACCAUGACAAGGCUCGACCCAAGAUGA
rnacentral:rRNA from 1 species